rnacentral:rRNA from 1 species
ACACGCAUGACACACUGCAUAUCAAUAAGCGGAGGAAAAGAAACUAACAAGGAUUCCCCUAGUAACGGCGAGUGAAGCGGGAAGAGCUCAAAUUUGAAAUCUUAAAGGGUUUCCCUUUACGAAUUGUAGUUUAAAGAAGUGUUUUCUGUUGGAGUUUCGGUAAAAGUUCUUUGGAAUAGGACAUCAUAGAGGGUGAGAAUCCCGUAUUUGACCGUUACUUUCCAGCUGUGUGAUACACUUUCAAAGAGUCGGAUUGUUUGGGAAUGCAGUCCAAAAUGGGUGGUAAAUUUCAUCUAAAGCUAAAUAUUGGCGAGAGACCGAUAGCGAACAAGUACCGUGAGGGAAAGAUGAAAAGAACUUUGAAAAGAGAGUUAAACAGUACGUGAAAUUGUCAAAAGGGAAGCGUUUGACACCAGUGUUGUUUAGUUGAAAAUCAAUUCAAUAAUUUUUGAUUUUGAGUAGUAUUGACUUCAUCAGCUUGCUGCUUUCUUUUCAGGAAAUUAUUGAAUGCACUUUUCAGUUAACAAGUCAACAUCAAUUUCUUUUGUUGUAAAAGGGUAUGAGGAAGGUGGCUUACGCUUCGGCGUAAGUGUUUAUAGCCUUUUACCUCUGCAAUCGGAGAGAUUGAGGACAGCAGCGUAGACUCUUCGGGGUUAGAUACACUUGUGCUAAGCUAUAGCCUUGUAUAGACAACUUGUUGACUAUGCUCAGUCAUGUAGCUUACUCGCUUGUGCUAUUUUACCUACGCUUAGGAUGUUGACUGAUAUGUAGUCGUA